AACGAACGCUGGCGGCAGGCUUAACACAUGCAAGUCGAGCGCCCCGCAAGGGGGGCGGCAGACGGGUGAGUAACGCGUGGGAAUCUACCCAUCUCUACGGAAUAACGCAUGGAAACGUGUGCUAAUACCGUAUACGUCCUUCGGGAGAAAGAUUUAUCGGAGAUGGAUGAGCCCGCGUUGGAUUAGCUAGUUGGUGGGGUAAAGGCCUACCAAGGCGACGAUCCAUAGCUGGUCUGAGAGGAUGAUCAGCCACACUGGGACUGAGACACGGCCCAGACUCCUACGGGAGGCAGCAGUGGGGAAUACUGGACAAUGGGCGCAAGCCUGAUCCAGCCAUGCCGCGUGAGUGAUGAAGGCCCUAGGGUUGUAAAGCUCUUUCACCGGUGAAGAUAAUGACGGUAACCGGAGAAGAAGCCCCGGCUAACUUCGUGCCAGCCGCCGCAGUAACAC
rnacentral:rRNA from 1 species